rnacentral:lncRNA from 1 species
CAUUGGCUUCUGAGGAUGCCAAUCAUGUCAUUUAGGACAUGAUUAGGAGACUUAUUUUUAAGCUUUUUUCCCCAGUCCUGAGCGUACGAUAGCAACGUCUUGGUGGAGGGGGAAUGCUAGGCCCAUUUUUUAGUAACAGGCCUGCACGCCUGCCAUUGCACAUGGCAUAGGGAGAGGCGUGCUGCGAUGGCAAGCUUCGGAGAGCCUCCCUGCAAGGGCCCGCCGAUGUGCCUGGGCACGUGCAGGGCUCCCGCAGUGCUGGGGACACUUGCAGAGGUCGCCUGAAACCGUGUGGCCAGCUUCCAGGUCUGGUUUUAAGGGAGGCUUCAAGGCUGCCCUUAAGCACGCGCUGUAGACAGUCAAUAGGACUGCCAAAGCAGCUCAGCCUGUUUCAAGGAAUAAAAGGGAAGAUUAAAAAUGUGUUUGUUCCUCCUUGAGGAAAGAACUGGGUGACCGCUGAAGCUGCACAAUGCACUCCACUAUCUGCCACGCAGAACUAGGCAAAUUUCAGCCUAGCACUGAGGGUGAUUGCAAGGAGGGUAACUGAAAUAACUUUCCUGCGUGACUUUGUAUAAUUGUCUUAAAAUGCAGCAGGGUUCCGCCUGUAGUUCUGCACUCCUAUUGCUUGUUUAAACAUGUGUGUGUGUUUGCUUGUAACCAUAAAAAAGCUUCUUACCAGAACUGGGAAAGACGCUACAGAUCUGCAUCUCUUUCCUUUCCCAGCACGGGCUGUGUGGUGUCACUGCUCCAUCUCUCGCGUUCUCUUGUAAUCCGGCUGAAGUGCAAUUCCAACAGGCCAAUAUUUUUCAGGGAACCAGGAACUUGGAAGCACGUCUGCGAAGCCCAAGCUCAUCUACUUCAGUGGAGCCGGUCCGAUGGCUGCUGGCAGCAGCCGGGGUGGAGGUUAGUCAGUGCCGAACACGCUGCUCCGGACUGAUGUUCUCCCCGGCCUCCGCAAGGAACAACUUAACAUUCACACAGAGGAAAAAUGGCUGCAAGAUGCUGGCUAGAUUCAUUUGGCUAGUAGAACUGGCCGGCAUGUUUGGCACUACCCUGUGUAAUGACUAAAGUUUGGGAAACAAACUCCGUGGAGGAGACUUCUUUUAAAGGCUCCUAAAUACUGAGCUUGCCAGCUGUGCAGAACCACCGUAACUCAUUUAGCUCACAGUUACGCUGUGUAUAAGGGAAAGGAG